rnacentral:tRNA from 1 species
GGUGAUGUGGCCAAGUGGUAAGGAAAAGGUCUGCAAAACCUUCAUCCCCGGUUCGAAUCCAUGUGUCGCCUCCA